rnacentral:rRNA from 1 species
UGGGGAAUAUUGCGCAAUGGGCGAAAGCCUGACGCAGCGACGCCGCGUGAGGGAUGACGGCCUUCGGGUUGUAAACCUCUUUCAGCUCCGACGAAGAGUGAUUGACGGUAGGAGCAGAAGAAGCACCGGCCAACUACGUGCCAGCAGCCGCGGUAAUACGUAGGGUGCAAGCGUUGUCCGGAAUUAUUGGGCGUAAAGAGCUCGUAGGCGGUUGGUCACGUCGAAUGUGAAAAUCCGGGGCUCAACUCCGGACCUGCAUUCGAUACGGGCCGACUAGAGUUCGGUAGGGGAGACUGGAAUUCCUGGUGUAGCGGUGAAAUGCGCAGAUAUCAGGAGGAACACCGAUGGCGAAGGCAGCCCCCUGGGUCAAGAUUGACGCUCAUGCACGAAAGCGUGGGGAGCAAACA